rnacentral:rRNA from 1 species
UACGUAGGGUGCGAGCGUUAAUCGGAAUUACUGGGCGUAAAGCGUGCGCAGGCGGUUGUGCAAGACAGAUGUGAAAUCCCCGGGCUCAACCUGGGAACUGCAUUUGUGACUGCACGGCUGGAGUGCGGCAGAGGGGGAUGGAAUUCCGCGUGUAGCAGUGAAAUGCGUAGAGUAUGCGGAGGAACACCGAUGGCGAAGGCAAUCCCCUGGGCCUGUACUGACGCUCAUGCACGAAAGCGU